rnacentral:rRNA from 1 species
GACAGAGGUGCCGAGCGUUAGGCGGAAUCACUGGGCUUAAAGCGUGUGUAGGCGGAGUUCUAAGUACCUUGUGAAAUCCCACGGCUCAACCGUGGAACUGCUUGGUAUACUGGUUCUCUUGGGCCAUCUAGGGGCUAGCGGAACAAACGGUGGAGCGGUGAAAUGCGUAGAUAUCGUUUGGAACGCCAAUGGUGAAAACAGCUAGCUGGGGAUGUGCCGACGCUGAGACACGAAAGCCAGGGGAGCGAACGGG